CGCGGAGAUGGAGCUAUGGUGCGCUCUGGGGUCUUAUAAGCCUUCACGUGCCGGGUACCGCUACGCGGAAGCGAGCUACAAAUCCCGGCUCCGCUACCA
rnacentral:tRNA from 1 species